AUUGAACGCUGGCGGAAGGCUUAACACAUGCAAGUCGAGCGGGGGAAGGUAGCUUGCUACCGGACCUAGCGGCGGACGGGUGAGUAAUGCUUAGGAAUCUGCCUAUUAGUGGGGGACAACAUCUCGAAAGGGAUGCUAAUACCGCAUACGUCCUACGGGAGAAAGCAGGGGAUCUUCGGACCUUGCGCUAAUAGAUGAGCCUAAGUCGGAUUAGCUAGUUGGUGGGGUAAAGGCCUACCAAGGCGACGAUCUGUAGCGGGUCUGAGAGGAUGAUCCGCCACACUGGGACUGAGACACGGCCCAGACUCCUACGGGAGGCAGCAGUGGGGAAUAUUGGACAAUGGGGGGAACCCUGAUCUAGCCAUGCCGCGUGUGUGAAGAAGGCCUUAUGGUUGUAAAGCACUUUAAGCGAGGAGGAGGCUACUUUAGUUAAUACCUAGAGAUAGUGGACGUUACUCGCAGAAUAAGCACCGGCUAACUCUGUGCCAGCCGCCGCGGUAA
rnacentral:rRNA from 1 species